AUCAACGCUGGCGGCGCGCUUAACACAUGCAAGUCGCACGAGAAAGGGAGCAAUCCUGAGUAAAGUGGCGUACGGGUGAGUAACACGUGGGAAUCUACCUCUUGGCGGGGAAUAACCCUGGGAAACCGGGGCUAAUACCGCAUAAGCUCGUGAGAGGAAAGCAGCAAUGCACCGAGAGAGGAGCCCGCGGCCGAUUAGCUAGUUGGUGGGGUAAUGGCUCACCAAGGCGAAGAUCGGUAGCCGGCCUGAGAGGGCACACGGCCACACUGGCACUGAAACACGGGCCAGACUCCUACGGGAGGCAGCAGUGGGGAAUCUUGCACAAUGGGGGAAACCCUGAUGCAGCGACGCCGCGUGAGCGAUGAAGCCCUUCGGGGUGUAAAGCUCUUUCGACAGGAACGAUAAUGACGGUACCUGGAGAAGAAGCUGCGGCUAACUACGUG
rnacentral:rRNA from 1 species